rnacentral:rRNA from 1 species
AGAGGAUGAACGGCCACAUUGGGACUGAGACACGGCCCAAACUCCUACGGGAGGCAGCAGUGGGGAAUCUUCCGCAAUGGACGAAAGUCUGACGGAGCAACGCCGCGUGAGUGAUGAAGGAUUUCGGUCUGUAAAGCUCUGUUGUUUAUGACGAAGUGCAGUGUGUGAACAAUGCAUUGCAAUGACGGUAGUAAACGAGGAAGCCACGGCUAACUACGUGCCAGCAGCCGCGGUAAUACGUAGGUGGCGAGCGUUGUCCGGAAUUAUUGGGCGUAAAGAGCAUGUAGGCGGCUUAAUAAGUCGAGCGUGAAAAUGCGGGGCUCAACCCCGUAUGGCGCUGGAAACUGUUAGGCUUGAGUGCAGGAGAGGAAAGGGGAAUUCCCAGUGUAGCGGUGAAAUGCGUAGAUAUUGGGAGGAA